AGAGCGAACGCUGGCGGCAGGCUUAACACAUGCAAGUCGAGCGGGCGUAACAAUACGUCAGCGGCAGACGGGUGAGUAACGCGUGGGAACAUACCUUUUGGUUCGGAACAACACAGGGAAACUUGUGCUAAUACCGGAUAAGCCCUUACGGGGAAAGAUUUAUCGCCGAAAGAUUGGCCCGCGUCUGAUUAGCUAGUUGGUGAGGUAACGGCUCACCAAGGCGACGAUCAGUAGCUGGUCUGAGAGGAUGAUCAGCCACAUUGGGACUGAGACACGGCCCAAACUCCUACGGGAGGCAGCAGUGGGGAAUAUUGGACAAUGGGCGCAAGCCUGAUCCAGCCAUGCCGCGUGAGUGAUGAAGGCCCUAGGGUUGUAAAGCUCUUUUGUGCGGGAAGAUAAUGACGGUACCGCAAGAAUAAGCCCGGCUAACGUUCGCGCCAGCAGCCGC
rnacentral:rRNA from 1 species